rnacentral:rRNA from 1 species
UCGACACAGGUGAUCAGGUAGAGAAUACCAAGGCGAUCGAGAGAACUGUGGUUAAGGAACUCGGCAAAAUGCCCCCGUAACUUCGGGAGAAGGGGGACCAUGCCCGGUGAACAUCUUCACGGUGGGAGCUGGGUGUGGUCGCAGAGACCAGAGAGAAGCGACUGUUUACUAAAAACACAGGUCCGUGCGAAGACGUAAGUCGAUGUAUACGGACUGACGCCUGCCCGGUGCUGGAAGGUUAAGAGGACCGGUUAGCCGUAAGGCGAAGCUGAGAAUUUAAGCCCCAGUAAACGGCGGUGGUAACUAUAACCAUCCUAAGGUAGCGAAAUUCCUUGUCGGGUAAGUUCCGACCUGCACGAAUGGCGUAACGACUUCUCUGCUGUCUCGACCACAGACUCGGCGAAAUUGCACUACGAGUAAAGAUGCUCGUUACGCGCGGCAGGACGAAAAGACCCCGGGACCUUUACUAUAGCUUGGUAUUGGCGUUCGAUUCGGUUUGUGUAGGAUAGGUGGGAGACUGUGAAGCAUGCACGCCAGUGUGUGUGGAGUCGUUGUUGAAAUACCACUCUGAUCGUAUUGGACGUCUAACCUCGGCCCAUGAUCUGGGUUAGGGACAGUGCCUGGUGGGUAGUUUAACUGGGGCGGUUGCCUCCUAAAGAGUAACGGAGGCGCCCAAAGGUUCCCUCAGCCUGGAUGGCAAUCAGGUGUUGAGUGCAAGUGCACAAGGGAGCUUGACUGUGAGACUGACACGUCGAGCAGGGACGAAAGUCGGGACUAGUGAUCCGGCACCGGCAAGUGGAAGCGGUGUCGCUCAACGGAUAAAAGGUACCCCGGGGAUAACAGGCUGAUCUUCCCCAAGAGUCCAUAUCGACGGGAUGGUUUGGCACCUCGAUGUCGGCUCGUCGCAUCCUGGGGCUGGAGUAGGUCCCAAGGGUUGGGCUGUUCGCCCAUUAAAGCGGCACGCGAGCUGGGUUUAGAACGUCGUGAGACAGUUCGGUCUCUAUCCGCCGCGCGCGUAAGAAACUUGAGGAAGGCUGUCCCUAGUACGAGAGGACCGGGACGGACGAACCUCUGGUGUGCCAGUUGUUCCACCAGGAGCAUGGCUGGUUAGCUACGUUCGGAAGGGAUAACCGCUGAAAGCAUCUAAGCGGGAAGCCUGUUCCAAGAUGAGGUUUCUCACCACCUUGCGUGGUUAAGGCCCCCUACAGACCAUGGGGUUGAUAGGCCGGAACUGGAAGCGCAGCAAUGCGUGGAGGUGACCGGUACUAAUAGGCCGAGGGCUUACAG